CAGCCGCCGCGGGAAUACGAAUGGUGCAAGCGUUACUCGGAAUUACUGGGCGUAAAGCGUGCGUAGGUGGUGGUUUAAGUCCGUUGUGAAAGCCCUGGGCUCAACCUGGGAAUUGCAGUGGAUACUGGGUCACUAGAGUGUGGUAGAGGAUAGUGGAAUUUCCGGUGUAGCAGUGAAAUGCGUAGAGAUCGGAAGGAACAUCUGUGGCGAAGGCGACUAUCUGGGCCAACACUGACACUGAGGCACGAAAGCGUGGGGAGCAAACAGGAUUAGAUACCCCCGUAGUCCCUGUCUCUUAUAU
rnacentral:rRNA from 1 species